AACAGACAAAUUUCUCAGAGGAGUAGAA
rnacentral:piRNA from 1 species